rnacentral:rRNA from 1 species
CCUACGGGCUGCAGCAGUGAGGAAUUUUGCGCAAUGGGGGUAACCCUGACGCAGCAACGCCGCGUGAGUGAAGAAGGCCUUCGGGUCGUAAAGCUCUGUCAAGUGGGAAGAACCCGCAUCAGGUCAACAGGCUGAUGCGCUGACGGUACCACUGAAGGAAGCACCGGCUAACUCCGUGCCAGCAGCCGCGGUAAUACGGAGGGUGCAAGCGUUAUUCGGAAUUACUGGGCGUAAAGGGCGCGCAGGCGGCUGGAUAAGUCAGUAGUGAAAGCCCAGGGCUCAACCCUGGAAGUGCUGCUGAAACUGUUUAGCUUGAGUAUGGUAGAGGGAAGUGGAAUUCCUGGUGUAGCGGUGAAAUGCGUAGAUAUCAGGAGGAACACCGGUGGCGAAGGCGGCUUCCUGGACCAAUACUGACGCUGAGGCGCGAAGGCGUGGGUAGCAAACAGGAUUAGAUACCCUACUAGUC